rnacentral:rRNA from 1 species
GGUUAAGCGACUAAGCGUACACGGUGGAUGCCCUGGCAGUCAGAGGCGAUGAAGGACGUGCUAAUCUGCGAUAAGCGUCGGUAAGGUGAUAUGAACCGUUAUAACCGGCGAUUUCCGAAUGGGGAAACCCAGUGUGUUUCGACACACUAUCAUUAACUGAAUCCAUAGGUUAAUGAGGCGAACCGGGGGAACUGAAACAUCUAAGUACCCCGAGGAAAAGAAAUCAACCGAGAUUCCCCCAGUAGCGGCGAGCGAACGGGGAGCAGCCCAGAGCCUGAAUCAGUGUGUGUGUUAGUGGAAGCGUCUGGAAAGGCGCGCGAUACAGGGUGACAGCCCCGUACACAAAAAUGCACAUGCUGUGAGCUCGAUGAGUAGGGCGGGACACGUGGUAUCCUGUCUGAAUAUGGGGGGACCAUCCUCCAAGGCUAAAUACUCCUGACUGACCGAUAGUGAACCAGUACCGUGAGGGAAAGGCGAAAAGAACCCCGGCGAGGGGAGUGAAAAAGAACCUGAAACCGUGUACGUACAAGCAGUGGGAGCACGCUUCGGCGUGUGACUGCGUACCUUUUGUAUAAUGGGUCAGCGACUUAUAUUCUGUAGCAAGGUUAACCGAAUAGGGGAGCCGAAGGGAAACCGAGUCUUAACUGGGCGUUAAGUUGCAGGGUAUAGACCCGAAACCCGGUGAUCUAGCCAUGGGCAGGUUGAAGGUUGGGUAACACUAACUGGAGGACCGAACCGACUAAUGUUGAAAAAUUAGCGGAUGACUUGUGGCUGGGGGUGAAAGGCCAAUCAAACCGGGAGAUAGCUGGUUCUCCCCGAAAGCUAUUUAGGUAGCGCCUCGUGAAUUCAUCUCCGGGGGUAGAGCACUGUUUCGGCAAGGGGGUCAUCCCGACUUACCAACCCGAUGCAAACUGCGAAUACCGGAGAAUGUUAUCACGGGAGACACACGGCGGGUGCUAACGUCCGUCGUGAAGAGGGAAACAACCCAGACCGCCAGCUAAGGUCCCAAAGUCAUGGUUAAGUGGGAAACGAUGUGGGAAGGCCCAGACAGCCAGGAUGUUGGCUUAGAAGCAGCCAUCAUUUAAAGAAAGCGUAAUAGCUCACUGGUCGAGUCGGCCUGCGCGGAAGAUGUAACGGGGCUAAACCAUGCACCGAAGCUGCGGCAGCGACGCUGAUGCGUUGUUGGGUAGGGGAGCGUUCUGUAAGCCUGCGAAGGUGUGCUGUGAGGCAUGCUGGAGGUAUCAGAAGUGCGAAUGCUGACAUAAGUAACGAUAAAGCGGGUGAAAAGCCCGCUCGCCGGAAGACCAAGGGUUCCUGUCCAACGUUAAUCGGGGCAGGGUGAGUCGACCCCUAAGGCGAGGCCGAAAGGCGUAGUCGAUGGGAAACAGGUUAAUAUUCCUGUACUUGGUGUUACUGCGAAGGGGGGACGGAGAAGGCUAUGUUGGCCGGGCGACGGUUGUCCCGGUUUAAGCGUGUAGGCUGGUUUUCCAGGCAAAUCCGGAAAAUCAAGGCUGAGGCGUGAUGACGAGGCACUACGGUGCUGAAGCAACAAAUGCCCUGCUUCCAGGAAAAGCCUCUAAGCAUCAGGUAACAUCAAAUCGUACCCCAAACCGACACAGGUGGUCAGGUAGAGAAUACCAAGGCGCUUGAGAGAACUCGGGUGAAGGAACUAGGCAAAAUGGUGCCGUAACUUCGGGAGAAGGCACGCUGAUAUGUAGGUGAAGUCCCUCGCGGAUGGAGCUGAAAUCAGUCGAAGAUACCAGCUGGCUGCAACUGUUUAUUAAAAACACAGCACUGUGCAAACACGAAAGUGGACGUAUACGGUGUGACGCCUGCCCGGUGCCGGAAGGUUAAUUGAUGGGGUCAGCGCAAGCGAAGCUCUUGAUCGAAGCCCCGGUAAACGGCGGCCGUAACUAUAACGGUCCUAAGGUAGCGAAAUUCCUUGUCGGGUAAGUUCCGACCUGCACGAAUGGCGUAAUGAUGGCCAGGCUGUCUCCACCCGAGACUCAGUGAAAUUGAACUCGCUGUGAAGAUGCAGUGUACCCGCGGCAAGACGGAAAGACCCCGUGAACCUUUACUAUAGCUUGACACUGAACAUUGAGCCUUGAUGUGUAGGAUAGGUGGGAGGCUUUGAAGUGUGGACGCCAGUCUGCAUGGAGCCGACCUUGAAAUACCACCCUUUAAUGUUUGAUGUUCUAACGUUGACCCGUAAUCCGGGUUGCGGACAGUGUCUGGUGGGUAGUUUGACUGGGGCGGUCUCCUCCUAAAGAGUAACGGAGGAGCACGAAGGUUGGCUAAUCCUGGUCGGACAUCAGGAGGUUAGUGCAAUGGCAUAAGCCAGCUUGACUGCGAGCGUGACGGCGCGAGCAGGUGCGAAAGCAGGUCAUAGUGAUCCGGUGGUUCUGAAUGGAAGGGCCAUCGCUCAACGGAUAAAAGGUACUCCGGGGAUAACAGGCUGAUACCGCCCAAGAGUUCAUAUCGACGGCGGUGUUUGGCACCUCGAUGUCGGCUCAUCACAUCCUGGGGCUGAAGUAGGUCCCAAGGGUAUGGCUGUUCGCCAUUUAAAGUGGUACGCGAGCUGGGUUUAGAACGUCGUGAGACAGUUCGGUCCCUAUCUGCCGUGGGCGCUGGAGAACUGGGGGGCUGCUCCUAGUACGAGAGGACCGGAGUGGACGCAUCACUGGUGUUCGGGUUGUCAUGCCAAUGGCACUGCCCGGUAGCUAAAUGCGGAAGAGAUAAGUGCUGAAAGCAUCUAAGCACGAAACUUGCCCCGAGAUGAGUUCUCCCUGACCCUUUAAGGGUCCUGAAGGAACGUUGAAGACGACGACGUUGAUAGGCCGGGUGUGUAAGCGCAGCGAUGCGUUGAGCUAACCGGUACUAAUGAACCGUGAGGCUUAACCUU